GUAGCUUGCUAUGAGAACAGUUAGUGGCAGACGGGUGAGUAAUGCAUAGGAAUCUACCUAGUAGUAUAGGAUAGCCACUAGAAGUGGUGGGUAAUACUGUAUAAUCCCUGCGGGGGAAAGAUUUAUCGCUACAUGAUGAGCCUAUGUUAGAUUAGCUAGUUGGUGGGGUAAUGGCCUACCAAGGCAGUGAUCUAUAGCUGGUCUGAGAGGAUGAUCAGCCACACUGGAACUGAGACACGGUCCAGACUCCUACGGGAGGCAGCAGUGGGGAAUAUUGGACAAUGGGCGCAAGCCUGAUCCAGCUAUGCCGCGUGAGUGAGGAAGGCCUUAGGGUUGUAAAACUCUUUCAGUGGGGAAGAUAAUGACGGUACCCACAGAAGAAGUCCCGGCAAACUCCGUGCCAGCAGCCGCGGUAAUACGGAGGGGGCAAGCGUUGUUCGGAAUUAUUGGGCGUAAAGGGCAUGUAGGUGGUUUGGUUAGUUAAAGGUGAAAUGCCAGGGCUUAACCCUGGAGCUGCUUUUAAUACUGC
rnacentral:rRNA from 1 species